rnacentral:rRNA from 1 species
CUACGGGGGGCUGCAGUCGAGAAUCUUCGGCAAUGGACGCAAGUCCGACCGAGCGACGCCGCGUGCGGGAUGAAGGCCUUCGGGUUGUAAACCGCUGUCAGAGGGGAGGAAAUGCAUGGGGGCUAUCCCCUGUGUUUGACCUAUCCUCAGAGGAAGUACGGGCUAAGUUCGUGCCAGCAGCCGCGGUAACACGAACCGUACGAACGUUAUUCGGAAUCACUGGGCUUAAAGGGUGCGUAGGCGGCCUUGCAAGUUGGGUGUGAAAUCCCUCGGCUCAACCGAGGAACUGCGCUCAAAACUGCAAGGCUUGAGGGAGACAGAGGUGAGCGGAACUAAUGGUGGAGCGGUGAAAUGCGUUGAUAUCAUUAGGAACACCGGUGGCGAAGGCGGCUCACUGGGUCUCUUCUGACGCUGAGGCACGAAAGCUAGGGUAGCGAACGGGAUUAGAUACCCCGGUAGUC